rnacentral:rRNA from 1 species
GCUUGCUACCUGACCUAGCGGCGGACGGGUGAGUAAUGCUUAGGAAUCUGCCUAUUAGUGGGGGACAACAUUCCGAAAGGAAUGCUAAUACCGCAUACGCCCUACGGGGGAAAGCAGGGGAUCUUCGGACCUUGCGCUAAUAGAUGAGCCUAAGUCAGAUUAGCUAGUUGGUGGGGUAAAGGCCUACCAAGGCGACGAUCUGUAGCGGGUCUGAGAGGAUGAUCCGCCACACUGGGACUGAGACACGGCCCAGACUCCUACGGGAGGCAGCAGUGGGGAAUAUUGGACAAUGGGCGAAAGCCUGAUCCAGCCAUGCCGCGUGUGUGAAGAAGGCCUUUUGGUUGUAAAGCACUUUAAGCGAGGAGGAGGCUACUUAGAUUAAUACUCUAGGAUAGUGGACGUUACUCGCAGAAUAAGCACCGGCUAACUCUGUGCCAGCAGCCGCGGUAAUACAGAGGGUGCGAGCGUUAAUCGGAUUUACUGGGCGUAAAGCGUGCGUAGGCGGCUUCUUAAGUCGGAUGUGAAAUCCCUGAGCUUAACUUAGGAAUUGCAUUCGAUACUGGGAAGCUAGAGUAUGGGAGAGGAUGGUAGAAUUCCAGGUGUAGCGGUGAAAUGCGUAGAGAUCUGGAGGAAUACCGAUGGCGAAGGCAGCCAUCUGGCCUAAUACUGACGCUGAGGUACGAAAGCAUGGGGAGCAAACAGGAUUAGAUACCCUGGUAGUCCAUGCCGUAAACGAUGUCUACUAGCCGUUGGGGCCUUUGAGGCUUUAGUGGCGCAGCUAACGCGAUAAGUAGACCGCCUGGGGAGUACGGUCGCAAGACUAAAACUCAAAUGAAUUGACGGGGGCCCGCACAAGCGGUGGAGCAUGUGGUUUAAUUCGAUGCAACGCGAAGAACCUUACCUGGUCUUGACAUAGUAAGAACUUUCCAGAGAUGGAUUGGUGCCUUCGGGAACUUACAUACAGGUGCUGCAUGGCUGUCGUCAGCUCGUGUCGUGAGAUGUUGGGUUAAGUCCCGCAACGAGCGCAACCCUUUUCCUUAUUUGCCAGCGGGUUAAGCCGGGAACUUUAAGGAUACUGCCAGUGACAAACUGGAGGAAGGCGGGGACGACGUCAAGUCAUCAUGGCCCUUACGACCAGGGCUACACACGUGCUACAAUGGUCGGUACAAAGGGUUGCUACCUAGCGAUAGGAUGCUAAUCUCAAAAAGCCGAUCGUAGUCCGGAUUGGAGUCUGCAACUCGACUCCAUGAAGUCG